rnacentral:rRNA from 1 species
AUUGAACGCUGGCGGCAGGCCUAACACAUGCAAGUCGAGCGGAUGAAGAGAGCUUGCUCUCUGAUUUAGCGGCGGACGGGUGAGUAAUGCCUAGGAAUCUGCCUGGUAGUGGGGGAUAACGUCCGGAAACGGGCGCUAAUACCGCAUACGUCCUACGGGAGAAAGCAGGGGACCUUCGGGCCUUGCGCUAUCAGAUGAGCCUAGGUCGGAUUAGCUAGUUGGUGAGGUAAUGGCUCACCAAGGCGACGAUCCGUAACUGGUCUGAGAGGAUGAUCAGUCACACUGGAACUGAGACACGGUCCAGACUCCUACGGGAGGCAGCAGUGGGGAAUAUUGGACAAUGGGCGAAAGCCUGAUCCAGCCAUGCCGCGUGUGUGAAGAAGGUCCUCGGAUUGUAAAGCACUUUAAGUUGGGAGGAAGGGCAGUAAGUUAAUACCUUGCUGUUUUGACGUUACCGACAGAAUAAGCACCGGCUAACUUCGUGCCAGCCGCCGCGGUAACAC